rnacentral:tRNA from 1 species
CAAAUUAGAGCUUGAGAUUAAGCAUUUCAUUUACAUUGAAAAGAUAAUAUUAUUUAUUUAAUUUGA